CACGUAUUUGCGGGGGCGCGCCUCCGUCAUCCUGAGUUCAAAGUGGAUUUUAACCGUUUACCUCCGACGACAGUUUUCAUUUCUAUGGCAAAUUCUAAGGUCAUUUUCUUGUUGUGUUUUGAUGUUUUCCAUUGGCUGAAGACUAAGAUGAGCCUGAAGAGGAGAUUUGGGAAGUCUUUGCUUUGCCAGAUCACCUGUGGUCGGGAUGUCUGCUAACAAGAUGCCUUGUUGGUCUGGGCGAGUUUGAAGUCUCUCACAGACAGUCCAGAAGGUCUGGAGUCCAUCUUAGCUUUUAUUGAUGCUGUCAUCAGAUUUUAAGUACAGUAUGAGCCAGAAUGGAAGGGUGUUGGUGGCCAUAAGAAGACUGUGAGCUAAACCUACAACAAAAUUCUUAUUUGCAGUUUUCCUAGAAUAUUUUUUUCUAUUCAGAUGAAUAAAAUUACUUUAAAAUAUUA